GACAGAGGGUGCAAACGUUGUUCGGAAUUACUGGGCGUAAAGCGUGCGCAGGCGGUUUUGUAAGUCUGACGUGAAAUCCCCGGGCUUAACCUGGGAAUUGCGUUGGAGACUGCAAGGCUGGAGUCUGGCAGAGGGGGGUAGAAUUCCACGUGUAGCAGUGAAAUGCGUAGAGAUGUGGAGGAACACCGAUGGCGAAGGCAGCCCCCUGGGUCAAGACUGACGCUCAUGCACGAAAGCGUGGGGAGCAAACAGG
rnacentral:rRNA from 1 species